CGCCGUUUGGGAAAACCCAGUCUGGAAUAGCUCGAGAGGUGUUUUCAGGGAUUUGUAUGCCUUGAUCCAGAAGUCUGCCAUGAUUGCAGCCAUCCAUGCCAAUGAGGGAUGAGCCAUAACAGCCUUUACUGAGGGCUUCUACACAGAGACUAAGGGCCGCAUGGUGUCUAUUGGUGUGCAUCCCACUCAUUGUUGGGUUGGUACACCUAAGCAGAACAUG
rnacentral:lncRNA from 1 species